UACGGAGGGGGCAAGCGUUGUUCGGAAUUACUGGGCGUAAAGUGUGCGCAGGCGGCCGAGCAAGUCGAGUGUGAAAGCCCCGGGCUUAACUUGGGAAUUGCGCUCGAAACUACUUGGCUGGAGUGUGGCAGAGGAAGGUGGAAUUCCAGGUGUAGCGGUGAAAUGCGUAGAGAUCUGGAGGAACACCGAUGGCGAAGGCAGCCUUCUGGGCCAACACUGACGCUCAUGCACGAAAGCGUGGGGAGCAAACAGG
rnacentral:rRNA from 1 species